rnacentral:rRNA from 1 species
UGGGGAAUUUUGGACAAUGGGCGAAAGCCUGAUCCAGCAAUGCCGCGUGUGUGAAGAAGGCCUUCGGGUUGUAAAGCACUUUUGUCCGGAAAGAAAUGGCUCUGGUUAAUACCUGGGGUCGAUGACGGUACCUGAAGAAUAAGGACCGGCUAACUACGUGCCAGCAGCCGCGGUAAUACGUAGGGUCCAAGCGUUAAUCGGAAUUACUGGGCGUAAAGCGUGCGCAGGCGGUUGUGCAAGACCGAUGUGAAAUCCCCGAGCUUAACUUGGGAAUUGCAUUGGUGACUGCACGGCUAGAGUGUGUCAGAGGGGGGUAGAAUUCCACGUGUAGCAGUGAAAUGCGUAGAGGUGUGGAGGAAUACCGAUGGCGAAGGCAGCCCCCUGGGAUAACACUGACGCUCAUGCACGAAAGCGUGGGGAGCAAACAGG